rnacentral:rRNA from 1 species
UGGGGAAUAUUGGACAAUGGGCGAAAGCCUGAUCCAGCCAUGCCGCGUGUGUGAAGAAGGUCUUCGGAUUGUAAAGCACUUUAAGUUGGGAGGAAGGGCAGUAAGCGAAUACCUUGCUGCUUUGACGUUACCGACAGAAUAAGCACCGGCUAACUCUGUGCCAGCAGCCGCGGUAAUACAGAGGGUGCAAGCGUUAAUCGGAAUUACUGGGCGUAAAGCGCGCGUAGGUGGUUCGUUAAGUUGAAUGUGAAAGCCCCGGGCUCAACCUGGGAACUGCAUCCAAAACUGGCGAGCUAGAGUAGGGCAGAGGGUGGUGGAAUUACCUGUGUGGCGGUGAAAUGCGUAGGUAUAUGAAGGAACACAAGUGGCGAAGGCGACCACCUGGGCUGAUACUGACACUGAGGUGCGAAAGCGUGGGGAGCAAACAGG